AUUUCUUAACCGCAUAAGGUCCACGCGAACAUGAUUUAUUCUCACACCGUCAAGAAAAGAUUCCUUUUAAAACGAACAACAUACUUGUACUCAUUUAUGUGACCCAAAGUGAAGAACAAACCACUAAGGCUCACAGGGGAGAUCCGACUUAAGAGCAUCCACGAAGACAACAAUCAAAUAAUACAUGUUGCAUAAACCAACUCAAUCCAAUUCAUCUUCGGACAACAAUCAAAUACAGUGAAGAUCAUCAUCUAUCUGUAAGUUAAUAGCAUGUGUAUGUGACUGAGUGUAUGUGAGUCUGGUUAUGAGAGUGUGCCGUGUGCACCUGUGCUGUGUAGAGAGGAAGAGUGAACGAGUCGAGUAUAUAUACUCAGGUCCCCUGUAACAGAAGAAUAAUCUUUUCUAAUCAAUAUUAUUCAAAACCUUAAUCAAUGUAGACAUACGAUUGUCAAUAUGGUAUCAGACUCAGAAAUUAAAAUUUCUGAGGGUAAUCGAUCCUUUCCUGUGAUUUCUUCACCACCACCACCACCACCACCACCAUGUCGUUAUCUCUUCAUCUUCUUCACCACGAUCAAAUCUCUUCAUCACCUUCUGCUGUUACUGAAAUCGGAGACUCAAAUUAUGUUUUGAAAGGUAAAGUCAUCACAAAUUUGUGCUCAAUUUGCUCCGAUCUCAUCUCUUACAACACAAAUCUGUCAAAUCUGCGAUUUCUAGUUCUGCAUCAACAGUUGCUGCACUAUCAUCUGCUGUGUCAAUGAUUGCGUCCUACAUGUUGCUGGUGCGCUUAGUGGAUAGUUGGAUUCCCAUCCGUUGUGACUAUAAGUGUUGCUGCUUUGCUACAACUUAUACUUCUUAUAUUUUCUAUUCUUCUUGUCCUGCAUCAACUGUUGUUGUCUGCAACUCUGUGCUACAUUAGUUAAGCUGGUUGGCUAUGCCAUUUUGUCAGAAUGGUUUGUUAUGCCCUGUUACCACUAUUUCUCUGACGACAUUACAGGUCAUGGUACUGUUUUGGUUUCACUCUUAUCUACAAUUGCCAAUAUCAUCUGCAAGACUUCUCUGUACCUGCUCCUCUAUUCUGCUGCUUUUUUGCACCCAUACUUAUUUGCUACUGCUUCCUAUGAUACGAUAUACGUACGGUGCUUCCUUCAGUCCAUGGUCUUGCUUGAGAGGAUUUUAGCUUCUUCAACUGCCGAGAUUUUUGGAGUUAGUGAUCUCUUGUGUACAAGUGUUAAUCCAACCGAUUGUAUUGAUUAAGCAUCUUCAAUUUACUACACCAACUACUGCUUCUGUCCUGCACCUUCUGUCAACUUACUAUUCCACAGCUGCCAUCAACUAUUAAUGUCCUGCUACAACACCCUGUACUAUCUUGCUUACUUUUGAUGUUCUAUCUGUUCAACCUCUACAACAAGAUGCUGCUACUUACUCUUUAUGCACUGUCAAUCCUACUUCUCUGGCAACAUUUCAGGUCAUGGUACUCUUGCUUUCUACUACUGCUGUUGCUGUUUUCUUAUAUCAUAGCAUGUGUAUGUGACUGAGUGUAUGUGCAAUCUCAAGUGUUCUUCUUCAAGCCCCCUUGAGCUUGAAGGGGUAAUAGCAUGUGUAUGUGACUGAGUGUAUGUGAGGUGUAAGUAAGUCUGGUUAUGAGAGUGUGCCGUGUGCACGUGUGCUGUGUAGAGAGGAAGAGUGAAAGAGUCGAUUAUAUAUACUCAGGUCCCCUGUAACAGAAGAAUAAUCUUUUCUAAUCAAUAUUAUUUAAACCCUUAAUCAAUGUA